GGCUGAGGCAGGAAAAUCACUUGAACCCGUGAGGUGGAGGUUACGGUGAGCCCAGAAUGCACCAUUGCACUUCAGCCUGGGUAACCAAGUGUGACUCCAUCUCAAAAAAAAAAAAAAAAAAAAAAAGCACAAUACUGUGUAAUUAUUGAGAGCAUAAUUCACUAUUAUGUGGAUCAGAGAGCAGAGGAUUCUGAAUGCAUGAACAUAUCUUUAACAUUUCAAUACAUUACUCAUAAUUACUAAUGAACUAAAGAGAAACCAAGAAAUUAUGGUGAUUUUCCUAAAUUUUGGGGAUAAAAAUUGUUCAAGUAGGUAAAAAUGGAGCAUACACAAAGAAAAAAGGAGUCCAGAAAUAUCAAAUAAAGAAAGGGCCUCCAUAAAAUCAUUUGAACUUAUGAUUAAUUCAUUAGUCAUUAAAAUAAGUUUAGUGUACAAAGAAUCAUCCCUCCAACCACCCUUUAUUCCUUCACCAGGUUUAAGUUACAUUUUUAAACUUGC
rnacentral:lncRNA from 1 species